rnacentral:rRNA from 1 species
CCGGCGCACGGGUGAGUAACACGUAUGGAACCUGCCCUAUGCAGGGGGGAUAAGCGGAAGAAAUUCCGUCUAAUACCGCAUAACACCAUUUGGAGACAUCUCCAGGGGGUCAAAGGAGGCGACUCCGGCAUAGGAUGGCCAUGCGUCGCAUUAGCUAGUCGGCGGGGUAACGGCCCACCGAGGCGACGAUGCGUAGGGGUUCUGAGAGGAAGGUCCCCCACACUGGUACUGAGACACGGACCAGACUCCUACGGGAGGCAGCAG